rnacentral:rRNA from 1 species
CCUACGGGAGGCUGCAGUGAGGAAUAUUGGUCAAUGGGCGCUAGCCUGAACCAGCCAAGUAGCGUGAAGGAUGACUGCCCUAUGGGUUGUAAACUUCUUUUAUAUGGGAAUAAAGCGCAUUAUGUAUACUGCUUUGCAUGUACCUUAUGAAUAAGGACCGGCUAAUUCCGUGCCAGCAGCCGCGGUAAUACGGAGGGUCCGGGCGUUAUCCGGAUUUAUUGGGUUUAAAGGGAGCGUAGGCGGCUUGUUAAGUGAGCUGUGAAAGUUUGCGGCUCAACCCUAACAUUGCAGUUGAUACUGGCAUGCUUGAGUCCGCUGGAGGCAGGCGGAAUGCGUGGUGUAGCGGUGAAAUGCUUAGAUAUCACGAAGAACCCCGAUUGCGAAGGCAGCUUGCUGGAGUGGAACUGACGCUGAUGCUCGAAAGUGCGGGUAUCGAACAGGAUUAGAUACCCGAGUAGUC